rnacentral:rRNA from 1 species
AUACGUAGGGUGCAAGCGUUAAUCGGAAUUACUGGGCGUAAAGCGUGCGCAGGCGGUUUUGUAAGACAGUGGUGAAAUCCCCGGGCUCAACCUGGGAACUGCCAUUGUGACUGCGAGGGCGGAGUGCGGGAGAGGGGGGAGGAAUUCCGCGUGUCGCAGUGAAAUGCGUAGAUAUGCGGAGGAACACCGAUGGCGAAGGCAAUCCCCUGGGCCUGCACUGACGCUCAUGCACGAAAGCGUGGGGAGCAAACAGGAUUAGAUACCCUGGUAGUCCACGCCCUAAACGAUGUCAACUGGUUGUUGGGGAUUUAUUUUCUCAGUAACGAAGCUAACGCGUGAAGUUGACCGCCUGGGGAGUACGGCCGCAAGGUUAAAACUCAAAGGAAUUGACGGGG